ACCUGGCUGGCUCAGUCAGUAGAGCAUGUGACUCCUGAUCUCAGGGUUGUGGGUUCAAGCCCCACAUUGGGUU